rnacentral:rRNA from 1 species
UGGGAACCUUCCCUUCGGUCGGGAAUAGCUCAGGGAAACUUGAGGUAAUACCGGAUACGCCCUAACGGGGAAAGAUUUAUCGCCGUUGGAUGGGCCCGCGUCGGAUUAGCUAGUUGGUGAGGUAAUGGCUCACCAAGGCGACGAUCCGUAGCUGGUCUGAGAGGAUGAUCAGCCACACUGGGACUGAGACACGGCCCAGACUCCUACGGGAGGCAG